UACGUAAGGACCGAGCGUUGUCCGGAAUCAUUGGGCGUAAAGCGCACGCAGGCGGUCUGUCAAGUCGGAUGUGAAAUCCCCGGGCUCAACCUGGGAACUGCAUUCGAAACUGGCAGGCUGGAGUCUUGUAGAGGGGGGUAGAAUUCCAGGUGUAGCGGUGAAAUGCGUAGAGAUGUGGAGGAAUACCGGUGGCGAAGGCGACUUACUGGGCUCAUUCUGACGCUGAGGAACGAAAGCGUGGGUAGCAAACAGG
rnacentral:rRNA from 1 species